rnacentral:rRNA from 1 species
GACGAACGCUGGCGGCGUGCUCAACACAUGCAAGUCGAGCGAUGAAGCUUCUUCGGAAGUGGAUUAGCGGCGGACGGGUGAGUAACACGUGGGUAACCUGCCUUGUAGAGAGGAAUAGCCAUUCGAAAGGAUGAUUAAUACCUCAUAAUAUUGUAGUUUCGCAUGGAGCAACAAUCAAAGGAGCAAUCCGCUACAAGAUGGACCCGCGGCGCAUUAGCUAGUUGGUGAGGUAACGGCUCACCAAGGCGACGAUGCGUAGCCGACCUGAGAGGGUGAUCGGCCACAUUGGGACUGAGACACGGCCCAGACUCCUACGGGAGGCAGCAGUGGGGAAUAUUGCACAAUGGGGGAAACCCUGAUGCAGCAACGCCGCGUGAGUGAUGACGGUCUUCGGAUUGUAAAGCUCUGUCUUCAGGGACGAUAAUGACGGUACCUGAGGAGGAAGCCACGGCUAACUACGUGCCAGCCGCCGCCGUAAUAC